rnacentral:rRNA from 1 species
UACGUAGGCAGCGAGCGUUGUUCGGAAUUACUGGGCGUAAAGAGUGUGUAGGCGGUGCUCUAAGUUCGGUGUGAAAUCUCCCGGCUUAACUGGGAGGGUGCGCCGGAAACUGGAGUGCUCGAGCGUGGGAGAGGAAAGCGGAAUUCCUGGUGUAGCGGUGAAGUGCGUAGAUAUCAGGAGGAACACCUGCGGUGUAGACGGCUUUCUGGACCAUUGCUGACGCUGAGACACGAAAGCGUGGGUAGCAAACAGG